GAGUUUGAUCUUGGCUCAGGACGAACGCUGGCGGCGUGCCUAAUACAUGCAAGUAGAACGCUGAGGUUUGGUGUUUACACUAGACUGAUGAGUUGCGAACGGGUGAGUAACGCGUAGGUAACCUGCCUCAUAGCGGGGGAUAACUAUUGGAAACGAUAGCUAAUACCGCAUAAGAGUAAUUAACACAUGUUAGUUAUUUAGAAGGAGCAAUUGCUUCACUGUGAGAUGGACCUGCGUUGUAUUAGCUAGUUGGUGAGGUAAAGGCUCACCAAGGCGACGAUACAUAGCGACCUGAGAGGGUGAUGGCCACACUGGGACUGAGACACGGCCCAGACUCCUACGGGAGGCAGCAGUAGGGAAUCUUCGGGCAAUGGACGGAAGUCUGACCGAGCAACGCCGCGUGAGUGAAGAAGGUUUUCGGAUCGUAAAGCUCUGUUGUUAGAGAAGAAUGUUGGUAGGAGUGGAAAUCUACCAAGUGACGUAACGUAACCAGAAAGGGACGGCUAACUACGU
rnacentral:rRNA from 1 species